UGGGGAAUCUUGCACAAUGGGGGCAACCCUGAUGCAGCGACGCCGCGUGAGCGAUGAAGCCCUUCGGGGCGUAAAGCUCUUUCGACCGGAACGAUAAUGACGGUACCGGGAGAAGAAGCUGCGGCUAACUACGUGCCAGCAGCCGCGGUAAUACGUAGGCAGCAAGCGUUGUUCGGAGUUACUGGGCGUAAAGAGUGCGUAGGCGGUUUUCUAAGUUCGGUGUGAAAUCUCCCGGCUUAACUGGGAGGGUGCGCCGAAGACUGGGAAGCUGGAGUGUGGGAAAGGCAGGCGGAAUUCCUGGUGUCGCGGUCAAAUGCGUAGAUAUCAGGAGGAACACCGGCGGUGUAGACGGCUUGCUAGACCAUAACUGACGCUGAGGCACGAAAGCGUGGGUAGCAAACA
rnacentral:rRNA from 1 species